rnacentral:rRNA from 1 species
CGCCCUUCCUACGGGGGGCAGCAGUGGGGAAUUUUGGACAAUGGGCGCAAGCCUGAUCCAGCAAUGCCGCGUGCAGGACGAAGGCCUUCGGGUUGUAAACUGCUUUUGUACGGAGCGAAACGGUCUGGGUUAAUACCCUGGGCUAAUGACGGUACCGUAAGAAUAAGCACCGGCUAACUACGUGCCAGCAGCCGCGGUAAUA